GACGAACGCUGGCGGCGUGCCUAAUACAUGCAAGUCGAACGAAGCUGUUUUAACUGGUGCUUGCACCGACUUAAACAACUGAGUGGCGAACGGGUGGGUAACACGUGGGUAACCUGCCCCAAAGCGGGGGAUAACAUUUGGAAACAGAUGCUAAUACCGCAUAAUCACAGAAACAACAUGGUUUCUGUGUCAAAGAUGGUUUCGGCUAUAACUUUGGGAUGGACCCGCGGCGUAUUAGCUAGUUGGUAAGGUAAUGGCUUACCAAGGCAAUGAUACGUAGCCGAACUGAGAGGUUGAUCGGCCACAUUGGGACUGAGACACGGCCCAAACUCCUACGGGAGGCAGCAGUAGGGAAUCGUCCACAAUGGACGAAAGUCUGAUGGAGCAACGCCGCGUGAGUGAAGAAGGUUUUCGGAUCGUAAAACUCUGUUGUCAGAGAAGAACGUGUGCGAGAGUAACUGUUCGUGCAGUGACGGUAUCUGGCCAGAAAGCCACAGCUAACUACGUGCCAGCCGCCGCAGUAA
rnacentral:rRNA from 1 species